rnacentral:misc_RNA from 1 species
GAUGAAGAACGUAGCGAAAUGCGAUAAGUAAUGUGAAUUGCAGAAUUCAGUGAAUCAUCGAAUCUUUGAACGCACAUUGCGCCCGCCAGUAUUCUGGCGGGCAUGCCUGUUCGAGCGUCAUUUCAACCCUCAGGACCCUUUGGACCUGGUGUUGGGGCUCGGCCGCUACCCCGCGGCCGUCCCCGAAAGAUAGUGGCGGUCUCGCUGUAGCGUCCUCUGCGUAGUAAUUACACCUCGUACUGGAACGCGGCGCGGCCACGCCGUUAAACACCCCACUUCUCAAGGUUGACCUCGGAUCAGGUAGGAAUACCCGCUGAACUUAAGCAUAUCAAUAAGCGAGGA